rnacentral:rRNA from 1 species
CAUGUCCCGCAGCAAUGCGGGAUGAUGGCGACCGGCAAACGGGUGCGGAACACGUACACAACCUUCCUUUUAGUGGGGAAUAGCCCGGGGAAACCCGGAUUAAUACCCCGUAACAUAAUGAAGUGGCAUCACUUUAUUAUUAUAGCAGCAAUGCGCUUUAAGAUGGGUGUGCGACUGAUUAGGCAGUUGGCGGGGUAACGGCCCACCAAACCUACGAUCAGUAACUGGUGUGAGAGCACGACCAGUCACACGGGCACUGAGACACGGGCCCGACUCCUACGGGAGGCAGCAGUAAGGAAUAUUGGUCAAUGGACGCAAGUCUGAACCAGCCAUGCCGCGUGGAGGAUGAAGGUCCUCUGGAUUGUAAACUUCUUUUAUCUGGGAAGAAAUCCACGAAUUCUUUUGUGGUUGACGGUACCAGAUGAAUAAGCACCGGCUAACUCCGUGCCAGCAGCCGCGGUAAUACGGAGGGUGCAAGCGUUAUCCGGAUUCACUGGGUUUAAAGGGUGCGUAGGUGGGCAGGUAAGUCAGUGGUGAAAUCUCCGGGCUUAACUCGGAAACUGCCAUUGAUACUAUCUGUCUUGAAUACCGUGGAGGUUAGCGGAAUAUGUCAUGUAGCGGUGAAAUGCUUAGAUAUGACAUAGAACACCAAUUGCGAAGGCAGCUGGCUACACGAAUAUUGACACUGAUGCACGAAAGCGUGGGGAUCAAACAGGAUUAGAUACCCUGGUAGUCCACGCCCUAAACGAUGGAUACUCGACAUACGCGAUAUACUGUGUGUGUCUGAGCGAAAGCAUUAAGUAUCCCACCUGGGAAGUACGAUCGCAAGAUUGAAACUC